GACGGGGGGGGGCAAGUGUUCUUCGGAAUGACUGGGCGUAAAGGGCACGUAGGCGGUGAAUCGGGGUUGAAAAGUGAAAAGUCGCCAAAAAAGUGGCGGAAUGCUCUCGAAACCAAUUCACUUGAGUGAGACAGAGGAGAGUGGAAUUUCGUGUGUAGGGGUGAAAUCCGUAAAUAUACGAAGGAACGCCAAAAGCGAAGGACAGCUCGUCUGGGUCCCUAGCCCGACGCUGGGAGUGCGAAAAGCUGGGGGAGCGAACAGG
rnacentral:rRNA from 1 species